rnacentral:sRNA from 1 species
AAGGCUGAUAUGUGGGUCGGGACAGACACAGACAAUUUUUUAUGUUAGUUUAGGAUUGGGCAAUAUACUCAGCCUAUAUAGAGAGACGUUUGGGGCAGACCAGGACACAGCGCCAUUUGGUGUUAGCAGGGGCGUGUGUCGUGUGCCAGAGAUGCUGUAGCAUGUAGGAAGUAGUUCUAAAGGACCAGGAGUGACAGUCUUGGCGACAGUCUGAGUCGGUGACAGUCUUGAUAGUCCGUGAAGUCAGUAGAGAUAGCCUGAGUAUUUUAUGAUGUAAAUCAUUGACGACAGAAGGUAAAAGCUAGAAAAUGAGCGACAGACGAUAGUCUACACAAAUGACAGA